rnacentral:rRNA from 1 species
GACGAACGCUGGCGGCGUGCUUAACACAUGCAAGUCGAACGGUGACGGAGAGCUUGCUCUCCUGAUCAGUGGCGAACGGGUGAGUAACACGUGGGCAACCUGCCCCAGACUUCGGGAUAACGCCUCGAAAGAGGUGCUAAUACCGAAUACGAACGCCAUGGGCAUCCACGGUGUUGGAAAGUUUUUCGGUCUGGGAUGGGCCCGCGGCCUAUCAGCUUGUUGGUGAGGUAAUGGCUCACCAAGGCGACGACGGGUAGCCGGCCUGAGAGGGCGACCGGCCACACUGGGACUGAGACACGGCCCAGACUCCUACGGGAGGCAGCAGUGGGGAAUAUUGCGCAAUGGGCGAAAGCCUGACGCAGCAACGCCGCGUGGGGGAUGAAGGCCUUCGGGUUGUAAACCUCUUUCAGCAGGGAAGAAGCGAAAGUGACGGUACCUGCAGAAGAAGCACCGGCUAACUACGUGCCAGCAGCCGCCGUAA